rnacentral:sRNA from 1 species
GAAGAUAAGCAACUUCCUUAAAGGAUGCAGCAGACUGAAGCAAUUCAGACAUCCCGCAACCAUGUAAAUGGUCCAGGCCAAGUCCGGUAAUGGCGCUUCUGAAUACCAGGUUAGUUACCCUGGCGAAACCCACCUUAAGGUGGGUUUU